ensembl:lncRNA
AUUACUUUUUUUAUUAUUAUUAUUAUUUAUUAACAAUGACUUGUAAAUCAAUUGUCACCAAAACCAGCAUUCUUGUGUUUCACAGAAUUUUCAAUUCAUGUGAACUAUCAAUUUAAUAAAACAUGGUUACAUUUUGAUUGCAUGUUUUGAUUUCAAGUGCAUUGAUCUUCAACUCCUUUUCAGGUGAACUGAUUGGGUUAGAGUACCUGUACCAUCAGACUGGCAAAGCAAUCCAGGACAGCAGAUUUAUCAUUAGACAGAUGGAAACCACUGACCUCCAAGUGGCUAAAAGUGAGGGAUGCUGCAAACUAGAGGACAUUGGGGAUUGGACAAUCACACAACAACCCAUCCCAUCUCUGUUAGAAGCUUCUCGAUCGAUGACAAGCCGAGGUGCUCUGUUUCAGGAGGAAGAUCUCUUUCCUCCAAACACAUCCUCGCCUGCUCCAGAGAAGGUUCCUUUCAUAAAAGAAGAGGAUAAUUGCAACGACAAGCCUCUCAUUUCAAACUUGCCUCCAGACACUGUGAUGGAAAGCAGCAACACAACACAAGAAGAAGCCUCAACAGAACAACCCCAGUCAGGCUCAAUGCUGACUUUGCCCAUUUUGUUUUCCAGCCCUUUUCCGCUAAAACAAAUGAUGGUGGUUUUAGCACAUGCACAAAAGAUUGAUGCACCACCAACAGCGAGCUUCCAUGCGGUUCCUGUUCCUCACACCACACAGUACUACCAGAAGAGAAAACUGGUCAAGGAAAAAGAUGGCAUUUGUACCAGGAAGUAUGUGCGAAGAUCAGAGGCUAUCCAGUGCAGAAAGUGCAAUAAAGAGAGAGUAAUGUCAACUCAUCGCCAGUAUUUUGGCAACUGGUAUUGUGAGGAGACUGAAACAAAACCCUUUGCUGUGUGGAAGGAUGAACUGAUAAAGCGGGGUUAUGGAAAGAAGAAGUGCUAAAGGAUGUAAUCAGCGAUGGACAUCCAGCUCCUUUUGUUUUAAUUGUUCUUAUUUAACUGCAUUUUUUCCAUUAGUCAUAUGUAAUUAAAAAUGUUGGCUUUUUGGUGCUCCUAAUCAAAAUAUAAUUGCAGCGCUGCGGUAAAAUCAUUUGUGGCAGUGGAACUGAGCUGUUUUAUCCAUACAACUCAACACUUCUGUGAUUCAUAAUUAGUUUCUGGGUAAAAUAUUAUUUUUAUUUAUGCUUAAGGUCUGUCGUUUAUUGCAGUUAGGUUUCCAGACUGUUCUCUCUGUGCUGAGUCUGGUUUCUUUUAUCAUUUUAUAACAUUACAAAUAUAUACAAACAGAACUGUUUUGGCUCAAGAGCUGUUCAAAAUUGUACAUUAUUUGAAUAAAAAAAAGAAACCAUAACAUUUAAUAAAAAGAUUAAGUUCAUGCUUUGUUUCCUUUCUCAUGCAACACUUUUACCGUAUGUUAGGACUAUAUCCUGCUCUAGCUAUUGAACGGUUUAAAACUGUCUAGAUAUUAGAGUGUCACUUGUGAAGGCAUUAUAUCAAGGGAGGCAGAACUAAUGAUUGGAGUCCCUCAAGGUUCCAUAUAAGGGCCUUUGUUGUUUACAAUCGACAUAAAUUAUAUUUGUACAAAUGUAGAUGUAGCUGUACAUUUCUAUGCAGAUGAUACUGUUAUAUACAGUACUGCUAGAUCUCAGUAUAAGGCAUUAGAAAUUGCAGGAUGCCUUUACAGUUUUACCAUUUUUUUUUUUACUUGAAUUAAAAUUGGUACUUAAUUUUAAAAAGACAAAAAUGUAUGUUAUUUACUCAUUCUAGGAAUGUACAG